GUUGGUGUGAGCUUUCUCACAGCACGGGGACCUGCCCAUGUCUCUUUGGUGCUUCUUGGAGAGCUAGAUGACGGGUGUUGCAGUUGGCAGAAGUGGAGCUGAGCUGAGUCCAUGAGGUAAUGAGUUUUAUAGCUGUUUCUGAGUAUGGAUAAUAAUUCCAAGCACUAACUGUUUCUAGAUUUUGGUUGGUGGGAGAAAAAGGGCUUGGAGGGUCCCCCUGGUGACUUUAUUGGCCUGCCAUCUUCUCCUCUCUCUCUGUCUCCGUGUUGUGGCUGGAAGAUAUUUAUGGAUGUCAGGAUCUAUGAUAUUGGAAAAUUGAUCAAACACGAACAAGUCACUUUCCAGUAAUCCACAAGUGGAUAGAAAGAUGAAAGAGUUGGUCCUUUCUAGUGUUUAAGAUAAGCUGCUACAAACAUUGUUCAUGCUAGGGAGGUUAAUGUCAAACAAUUAGAGAAGCAAGUUUCUGUGGAAAAGGACCUUUGAAAAUGUUCUACAACAACUUCAUUUUCUUAGGGAUCUCGUUUUCUGGAUGGUCAAGCUAAAAUUUGAAUGGCAUUCAUGAUUGAAAUUGUUGAUGAACUAAUGCAGACUUGAGAUAAGAGAG
rnacentral:misc_RNA from 1 species